CAGAGAACGUCAUGGUCGGCUAGUCAAUAUCUACAAAGUAGCGCUGUCUGUCUGUUUGCCUGUCUAUCUUUCUAUCAUUUCUUACAUCAAACUAUGAUACCAUUUUGCAAAGAACUACAGUGAUACAACUAGACUAAUGUUCAUUAAAAGCUAAAAUUACAGCAAACUAAAACACUUAUGUUUAUCUAAGACUAAUAAUGAGGAAAAAAUUGCGUGCAGAGAGAGUCAGGCCUCUCAGACCAACCGACGGUCAGAUGAACUUAGCGUUGAAGAGAACUGUUUACUGUGGGGAACACGUGUGAUAAUACCGCAAAAAUUACAGUCAAGAGUUCUAGCAGAUCUUCAUGAAAAUCACCUAGGUUCAAAUCGAAUGAAAGCAUUAGCUAGAUCGUAUAUCUGGUGGCCGAGUUUGGACAUGACGUUGGAAGAAUUGUGCAAGAAAUGUGAAAUUUGCCAAAGUCAGAGGAAUAAACCGCCUGCUGGUAUUCCUCAUCCAUGGAUGUAUCCCACAGCACCUUGGGAGAGAGUUCACGCAGAUUUCACGGAUUUGGAAGGUCAACAUUAUCUUAUUAUGAUUGACGCUUAUUCGAAGUGGUUGGAGGUGCAUGAAAUGGGCACUAGUACAACGGCUAGUAGGACAAUAGAUGUGAUGAGGCUAGUUUUUAGUUUUCAUGGCAUUCCAAGACGAUUGGUGACAGAUAAUGGUCCACAAUUCAGGUCAGUAGAAUUUCAGAAGUUUAUGAAAGGAAAUGGUGUCAAACACCAACUCACUCCUCCGUAUCACCCAUCAAGCAAUGGACAAGCAGAACGAGCAGUUCAAAUCUUCAAGAGAUCUAUGGAGGCAUGACCUAAAGGACGUACUAUUCGACAUCAAAUAUCUAUACUACUGCUGCAGUAUAGGUCGACUCCAAAUACCUCAACAGGUAAAACGCCAUCCGAAUUGCUAAUGAAGAGAGUCUUAUGAACAAGACUAAGCCUUGUUAGACCUACAGUUGGAGGAGAGAUUCGAGACAGACAGGAGAGCCAAACAGAAGCUGCAUCCAGAAAUCGGGAGAUGUUACCUGGAGAAUCAGUGGCAGUAUGGAACCCAAGACAAGAUAGUCGGGGACGGUGGCUCUCUGGAACAGUAGUUCAGAAACUGGGACCGAGCAACUAUCUUGUAAACGUGAAUGGUCAGGCUAGGUAUGUUCAUGUAGACCAUAUAUUACAUCGUGAUAUCAGAAGUUUUCCACAGGAUGUACAUCAGGAGCAAACUUCCAAUACUCAUGAUUGUACAGUGACUAUGAUUACACCACAAGCUGGAAGCUAUUUCGAAGUCAGUGCUGAGAAGAUAAUCUCAUCAACAGACUCUACCAGGGAAGACUCAGUACCAACUACUCCUAGCCACCCUGAGUUAACAGAAAGACAGUCAGAACAGACUGAUAACAUGCCAACAAAGAAACCAAUUGAGAAGUCAGCAGAGAGAGAAAAUCGAAGAUAUCCCACAAGGAACAAUAGAAGACCCCCAAGAGAUAUCGAGAGAUUUAGUGGAAGGGAGUGUAGUAGAGUAUGGGACUAUGGGACUAUCCCUAGUACUCAUUAGCAUACUGAUAGAAUAUGACACUAUAUAGUACUGUGGCAUGUGAUUAGCCAGCUUUGGGUAGUCUGGUGUAGUAUUGCAUACACACUGUAAGUGAGCUGCAAUAGAACCAAUAUAUAGUCGGUAACGACACAACAAUGACGAAAAAACAUGUUCAGUUGGUGUUGAAAGAUGUAAUGACAGUUACUGUAAUUACAAUGGACAUUGUGUGAAGGAAGGCAACACAAAUAAAUGUUUAUGUCGUAGUGACUGCACUGGAUCUCAAUGCACUGACAUUGUUCGCAAGACUCUGUCUUGUCCCAGCACUCGAUGCCACAGCCGUGGACGAUGUUAAAUCUCAGUAGAAGGUCAAUACUGCAUUUGUAAUGAUAGUUACUCUGGUGUUUACUGUGAGUCCGAUAUCUCUCCCAUCACUUCUCCAUUUGAUAAUUCUACAACCACAUCUCCUGCACCACCUUGGUAAUGUCAGUCAGAGCAAAGGAAACAAUGCAGUAGCCAUUUCUGUAGGAGGUGCCAUCGGUGGUCUAGUGGUUGUCGCAAUUAUUAUCAUUCUUGUUAUUCUCUUGGUAAAGAAUGUGAGAGGCAAGCUGUUGAUUAACUUUGAUAAUCCCAUGUACCAUUCUGACUCUAGCUCAGUUGUUAUCCCACCAAAGGCAGGAGUUGAAGAGGUCAACCACAGUAAAGAGGUCAAUGGCACGCAUACAGCUCCAGCUACUUCCACUUCUGUCUGAUGAAUCCUUGAGAGAAUAGUUUUGUUCCUUUGGUAGUCUAGUGUUGUUGACCUUGAUAACAUUGAGUUUACCAAUCAUCAUCAUCAUCAUCAUCAUCAUCUGAUCACGUGACGUCAAUACUAAACAAGCAAUUUCGUUUGCCAUCUAGAUUAGCAUAGUUCUUUUGACUGCAUGUAAGAUACAUGAAUUAGUACAUAAUAGGACACACAAGUUACCUUAAUUGUAGAAAAAUGAAUGUUAGAGAAAGAAAUUGAUAUUAUUGUGUGAAAGACAUCUAUUUUUAAUAAAAUUAAAAUAAU